rnacentral:rRNA from 1 species
GAUGAACGCUGGCGGCGUGCUUAAUACAUGCAAGUCGAACGAAUGGAUGUCUAGCUUGCUAGACUGAAGUUAGUGGCGAACGGGUGAGUAAUACAUAGGCAAUCUGCCCUGAAGGUGUGGGAUAGCUAAUUUGGAAACGAUAAAUUAAUACCGCAUAGGUAGUAGGUAAGGCAUCUUCCUACUAUUAAAGAUUGCGUACUGUCAUCGCUGCAGGAUGAGCUUAUGGUGUAUUAGCUAGGUUGGUGAGAUAAAAGCCCACCAAGGCUAUGAUACAUAGCUUGGUCCUGAGAGGAUGAACAGCCACACUUGGGACUGAGACACGGCCCAGACU